AUUGAACGCUGGCGGCAUGCCUUACACAUGCAAGUCGAACGGCAGCACGGAGCUUGCUCUGGUGGCGAGUGGCGAACGGGUGAGUAAUAUAUCGGAACGUACCCUAGAGUGGGGGAUAACGUAGCGAAAGUUACGCUAAUACCGCAUACGAUCUAAGGAUGAAAGUGGGGGAUCGCAAGACCUCAUGCUCGUGGAGCGGCCGAUAUCUGAUUAGCUAGUUGGUAGGGUAAAAGCCUACCAAGGCAUCGAUCAGUAGCUGGUCUGAGAGGACGACCAGCCACACUGGAACUGAGACACGGUCCAGACUCCUACGGGAGGCAGCAGUGGGGAAUUUUGGACAAUGGGCGAAAGCCUGAUCCAGCAAUGCCGCGUGAGUGAAGAAGGCCUUCGGGUUGUAAAGCUCUUUUGUCAGGGAAGAAACGGUGAGAGCUAAUAUCUCUUGCUAAUGACGGUACCUGAAGAAUAAGCACCGGCUAACUACGUGCCAGCAGCCGCGGUAAUACGUAGGGUGCAAGCGUUAAUCGGAAUUACUGGGCGUAAAGCGUGCGCAGGCGGUUUUGUAAGUCUGAUGUGAAAUCCCCGGGCUCAACCUGGGAAUUGCAUUGGAGACUGCAAGGCUAGAAUCUGGCAGAGGGGGGUAGAAUUCCACGUGUAGCAGUGAAAUGCGUAGAUAUGUGGAGGAACACCGAUGGCGAAGGCAGCCCCCUGGGUCAAGAUUGACGCUCAUGCACGAAAGCGUGGGGAGCAAACAGGAUUAGAUACCCUGGUAGUCCACGCCCUAAACGAUGUCUACUAGUUGUCGGGUCUUAAUUGACUUGGUAACGCAGCUAACGCGUGAAGUAGACCGCCUGGGGAGUACGGUCGCAAGAUUAAAACUCAAAGGAAUUGACGGGGACCCGCACAAGCGGUGGAUGAUGUGGAUUAAUUCGAUGCAACGCGAAAAACCUUACCUACCCUUGACAUGGCUGGAAUCCCCGAGAGAUUGGGGAGUGCUCGAAAGAGAACCAGUACACAGGUGCUGCAUGGCUGUCGUCAGCUCGUGUCGUGAGAUGUUGGGUUAAGUCCCGCAACGAGCGCAACCCUUGUCAUUAGUUGCUACGAAAGGGCACUCUAAUGAGACCGCCGGUGACAAACCGGAGGAAGGUGGGGAUGACGUCAAGUCCUCAUGGCCCUUAUGGGUAGGGCUUCACACGUCAUACAAUGGUACAUACAGAGCGCCGCCAACCCGCGAGGGGGAGCUAAUCGCAGAAAGUGUAUCGUAGUCCGGAUUGUAGUCUGCAACUCGACUGCAUGAAGUUGGAAUCGCUAGUAAUCGCGGAUCAGCAUGUCGCGGUGAAUACGUUCCCGGGUCU
rnacentral:rRNA from 1 species